GUGGGGAAUAUUGGACAAUGGGCGAAAGCCUGAUCCAGCCAUGCCGCGUGUGUGAAGAAGGUCUUCGGAUUGUAAAGCACUUUAAGUUGGGAGGAAGGGCAGUAAGUUAAUACCUUGCUGUUUUGACGUUACCGACAGAAUAAGCACCGGCUAACUUCGUGCCAGCAGCCGCGGUAAUACGAAGGGUGCAAGCGUUAAUCGGAAUUACUGGGCGUAAAGCGCGCGUAGGUGGUUUUGUAAGUUGGAGGUGAAAUCCCCGGGCUCAACCUGGGAACUGCUUUCAAAACUGCUGAGCUAGAGUACGGUAGAGGGUGGUGGAAUUUCCUGUGUAGCGGUGAAAUGCGUAGAUAUAGGAAGGAACACCAGUGGCGAAGGCGACCACCUGGACUGAUACUGACACUGAGGUGCGAAAGCGUGGGGAGCAAACAGGAUUAGAUACCCCUGUAGUCC
rnacentral:rRNA from 1 species